rfam:Myxococcus stipitatus DSM 14675, complete genome.
GGGGUCGUAGCUCAGCGGGAGAGCGCUUGGCUCGCAUCCAAGAGGUCCCGGGUUCAAUCCCCGGCGGCUCCA